rnacentral:rRNA from 1 species
GUGGGGAAUAUUGGACAAUGGGCGCAAGCCUGAUCCAGCCAUACCGCGUGAGUGAAGAAGGCCCUCGGGUUGUAAAGCUCUUUUGUUGGGAAAGAAAUCCUGUUGGUUAAUACCUGGCAGGGAUGACGGUACCCAAAGAAUAAGCACCGGCUAACUUCGUGCCAGCAGCCGCGGUAAUACGAAGGGUGCAAGCGUUACUCGGAAUUACUGGGCGUAAAGCGUGCGUAGGUGGUUGUUUAAGUCUGUCGUGAAAGCCCUGGGCUCAACCUGGGAAUUGCGAUGGAUACUGGGCGACUAGAGUGUGGUAGAGGGUGGCGGAAUUCCCGGUGUAGCAGUGAAAUGCGUAGAGAUCGGGAGGAACAUCCGUGGCGAAGGCGGCCACCUGGGCCAACACUGACACUGAGGCACGAAAGCGUGGGGAGCAAACAGGAUUAGAAACCCUGGUAGUCC